rnacentral:rRNA from 1 species
GACGAACGCUGGCGGCGUGCCUAAUACAUGCAAGUAGAACGCUGAAGAGAGGAGCUUGCUCUUCUUGGAUGAGUUGCGAACGGGUGAGUAACGCGUAGGUAACCUGCCUUGUAGCGGGGGAUAACUAUUGGAAACGAUAGCUAAUACCGCAUAACAAUGGAUGACACAUGUCAUUUAUUUGAAAGGGGCAAUUGCUCCACUACAAGAUGGACCUGCGUUGUAUUAGCUAGUAGGUGAGGUAACGGCUCACCUAGGCGACGAUACAUAGCCGACCUGAGAGGGUGAUCAGCCACACUGGGACUGAGACACGGCCCAGACUCCUACGGGAGGCAGCAGUAGGGAAUCUUCGGCAAUGGGGGCAACCCUGACCGAGCAACGCCGCGUGAGUGAAGAAGGUUUUCGGAUCGUAAAGCUCUGUUGUAAGUCAAGAACGAGUGUGAGAGUGGAAAGUUCACACUGUGACGGUAGCUUACCAGAAAGGAACGGCUAACUACGUGCCAGCAGCCGCGGUAAUACGUAGGUCCCGAGCGUUGUCCGGAUUUAUUGGGCGUAAAGCGAGCGCAGGCGGUUUGAUAAGUCUGAAGUUAAAGGCUGUGGCUCAACCAUAGUUCGCUUUGGAAACUGUCAAACUUGAGUGCAGAAGGGGAGAGUGGAAUUCCAUGUGUAGCGGUGAAAUGCGUAGAUAUAUGGAGGAACACCGGUGGCGAAAGCGGCUCUCUGGUCUGUAACUGACGCUGAGGCUCGAAAGCGUGGGGAGCGAACAGG